rnacentral:rRNA from 1 species
AAGAGAUCGGGGAUAACACCUGGGAACAGAUGCUAUACCGGAUAACAACAGAUGAUGCCUAUCAACUGUUUUAAAAAGAUGGUUCUGCUAUCACUCUUGGAUGGGACCUGCGGUGCAUUAGCUAGUUGUAGGGUAACGGGCCUACCAAGGCGAUGAUGCAUAGCCGAGUUGAGAGACUGAUCGGCCACAUUGGGACUGAGACACGGCCCAAACUCCUACGGGAGGCAGCAGUAGGGAAUCUUCCACAAUGGACGCAAGUCUGAUGGAGCAACGCCGCGUGAGUGAAGAAGGGUUUCGGCUCGUAAAGCUCUGUUGUUGGUGAAGAAGGACAGGGGUAGUAACUGACCUUUGUUUGACGGUAAUCAAUUAGAAAGUCACGGCUAACUACGUGCCAGCAACCGCGGUAAU